rnacentral:rRNA from 1 species
ACCGAUCAGGCUGUUGGUGAGGUAACUGCCCACCAAACCUGUAACCGGUACGGGCUCUGAGAGGAGGAGCCUGGAGAUGGGUACUGGGACAAGGACCCAGGCCCUAUGGGGCGCAGCAGGCGCGAAACCUCUGCAAUAGGCGAAAGCUUGACAGGGUUACUCUGAGUGAUUUCCGUUAAGGAGAUCUUUUGGCACCUCUAAAAAUGGUGCAGAAUAAGGGGUGGGCAAGUCUGGUGUCAGCCGCCGCGGUAAUACCAGCACCCCGAGUGGUCGGGACGAUUAUUGGGCCUAAAGCAUCCGUAGCCGGUUUUACAAGUCCUCCGUUAAAUCCAACUGCUUAACAGAUGGGCCGCGGAGGAUACUAUAAGACUAGGAGGCAGGAGAGGCAAGCGGUACUCAGUGGGUAGGGGUAAAAUCCGUUGAUCCAUUGAAGACCACCAGUGGCGAAGGCGGCUUGCCAGAAUGCGCUCGACGGUGAGGGAUGAAAGCUGGGGGAGCAAACCGGAUUAGAUACCCGGGUAGUCCCAGCUGUAAACGAUGCAGACUCGGUGAUGGACUAGCUUCAUGCUAGUCCAGUGCCGCAGGGAAGCCGUUAAGUCUGCCGCCUGGGUAGUACGGUCGCAAGACUGAAACUUAA